GAUGAACGCUAGCUACAGGCUUAACACAUGCAAGUCGAGGGGAAACGAUGAGAGAGCUUGCUCUCUUAGGCGUCGACCGGCGCACGGGUGAGUAACGCGUAUCCAACCUACCCAUUACAGGGGGAUAACCUUGCGAAAGUAAGACUAAUACCCCAUGGCAUUUUAUGGUGGCAUCAUUAUAGGAUUAAAGAUUUAUUGGUAAUGGAUGGGGAUGCGUCUGAUUAGCUUGUUGGCGGGGUAACGGCCCACCAAGGCAACGAUCAGUAGGGGUUCUGAGAGGAAGGUCCCCCACAUUGGAACUGAGACACGGUCCAAACUCCUACGGGAGGCAGCAGUGAGGAAUAGUGGGCAAUGGGCGAGAGCUUGAACCAGCCAAGUAGCGUGCAGGAGGACGGCCCUAUGGGUUGUAAACUGCUUUUAGAGGGGAAUAAAGUGAGCUACGUGUAGUUUAUUGCAUGUACCCGAUGAAUAAGGACCGGCUAAUUCCGUG
rnacentral:rRNA from 1 species